GAGGGUAUAGUUCAAUGGUAGAGCACAGGCUUAGUAGUCACGAAGUCCUGAGUUCAAUCCCCAGUACCUCCA
rnacentral:tRNA from 1 species